CAGACACGUAAUCUCAACUCAGCCAAUUCAACACUCUCUCCUGGGAUUAUGAGUUUUGAGUGAGUAAUACAAAGACAGAAUAGACUGUUGAAAUUGACUUAUCUCAGCACAGGUUUCUUCUGGACCCUUCUGUGGUUCUUGCCCAUUUCCAAGUUAUUUGGAGGGCCUUUUGUGAGUGUCCCAAAUCUUUUGGUAAAUUCUCUUUUGUAAUGAAAAAAUCUGGAACCAGAUCACUAAUUCAGGAGAUGGGAGACUCAGGGCUUCUAAUCUUGAAAAGGAAAAGCCUACCUGGAUAGCCCUCCUUGCUUCAAUGAAGAGGUAGGAGUUUGCAAAGCUCCUCUCACCUGGUUAAAUUAUACUUUGAUCUUUUGUGAGAUGCUGAACCAGAUUUUUCUCUUAGAAAGCUGGUGUCUGGCUUUUGGUCUCAAAACAUACAACUCCAUCUGAAACCUCCUCUCAGCUGGGAUUUUUUCUUUUCUCAUAUGUUCACACACCAGCCCUGAAAAUAGAGCGAUUCAACUGCAUGCAGACAGCUGCAC
rnacentral:lncRNA from 1 species